AUUGAACGCUGGCGGCAGGCUUAACACAUGCAAGUCGAACGAGUGGCGGACGGGUGAGUAAUGCUUGGGAAACUGGCUGAUGGAGGGGGAUAACUACGGGAAACGGUAGCUAAUCCCGCAUACCAUAGGAUGAGCCCAACUGGGAUUAGGUAGUUGGUGGGGUAACGGCUCACCAAGCCGACGAUCCCUAGCUGGUCUGAGAGGAUGACGAGCGAUCAUGGAACUUAGACACGGCCAAUACUCCUACGAGAGGCAGCAGUGGGGAAUAUUGCACAAUGUGGGCAAGCCUGACGCAGACAUGCCGCGUGAAUGAAGAAGGCCUUCGGGUUGUAAAGUUCUUUCAGCGGGGAGGCGUUACCCGCAGAAGAAGCACCGGCUAACUCCGUGCCAGCAGCCGCGGUAAUAC
rnacentral:rRNA from 1 species